GCGGGGCAGGCGCGUGGCCGUUAGCGCGCGGCCGUUAGCGGUCGCGCUCUGGCAACGGUCGGCGUUACGGCCUUCUGGGUGGGCUACAGUCCGCGUGACCCAACCCCUGUUUGCACGUUCGCCUCCUUCGCGGGGUGCAGUCACCGCGCGGGGCGGCCGCCCGUGAGGUAGCUAUCACGGCUUGUGACAACGAAUAAAGCUCCCGGACAGCGGCGCCCUCAGCGAUAGCUGGGUGGGCAGCCCCGGCCGGGAGCAGCGGCCCUUGAGUUAUCGUGAGGAGCGAGCAGCGGAGCCCACCUCCGGCCCGACCCCGCAUCAGCCGCCCGGCAGGCGCGACAUGAGCCUGGUCUGGCACCCGCGGGAUGGUCUUUGAGCCUCUUCUCCGGCAGUUACCUCCGGGGACGGUUGUGGCCACACCGACACGUAUUUUCCAAAUAAAUCAGUGCUUAUCUUGCGACGGCGGCGGGGCCGAACACGUUAAUUUAUUUUUUCAUUUUCUCAACAAGCAUUUGCCCAGCAUUUUUACAGUGAAACAACUUGGUAAGCGUUUGGAGGGAGCAACCGCCGGGUUAGGAAAUCACGGACUGAGCAGCUUGUGGAAGCCCGCAUUGGCCACGCCCCUCCUCUAAUAUUUUGAAGAUUGUUGCGUCUUGUAACUACCGGUGUGCACAGAAUCCUACCCAAGGAACGUCGUGGUCCAGCGAUGCAAACAACUGAAGUUUCAAGGUUUAUUUCUAUUGCUAGAUGAUCGGGAUAACCCCAGCAACUGAGAACCACUCAGUCAUGUCAGCUACAGUGGGUCCCUUAUGGGAACAGCAAAUUUUAGCGCGUGCGCCCUUUUCUCUCCUCUUCCAGCCUGUCCAAGCGCUUUUGAUGAGUAAGAAGGCGACAAAUGUCAGCUUUUGCAACUGCAACUCAUGGGUUAGAAGAGGAGAUGGAGCAAGCACAAGGCGGGCAGGCUAGCCUUGGUCUUCUGAGCAGCUACUGUCUUAGAGUGGUAUUCAUGCAGAAUAGUUGAAAGUCCCCGGAGGGAUUCAUGAUCCCCUGCCUUGAUCCGAGGCCAUGACCUAUUGGAGUGACUGGAGUGUGUCUCUGGAGUGACCUAAUUCACCCUGCUCUACUUCUAAGAAAUAUUAUCCUCCGACUAGACACAGUCCUUCCUUCAUAGGGGUGAAUUUGAUUUCUUUUUGUCCCCCUUCACUUUCAGGGAUUUACCCACCACCAAUGAAAACCUCGAAACUUUCUAAUCUGCUGACAUUGGUGGCUAGAGGAGUGGCAAGGUGUCAUCCACUUUAGGGUAUUUUACACUGCUCAUAUCUAGACAUAGGUUAGGAACAGGCCAAACCUCAGUGGCCAUUUGAUCCUGGUGAAAAGGAGUAAUAGGAGCUAAGGGGCUGAUUUUUCAGUGUUUUUUUGUUUUAUUUUGUUUUGUUUUGUACCAGGGGUUGAACCCAGGGGCGCUUAUCCACUGAGCCACAUCCAGAGCACUUUGUCCAUAUUUUAUUUUGAGACAGGGUCUCACCAAGUUGCUUAGGGCCUCACUAAAUAGCUGAGACUGACUUUGAACUCACGAUCCUUCUCCCUCAGACUCCUGAGUCACUGUCAGUGUUAUUUUUUGAGGGAAUUGUUGCCUUUAUGCAGCCAAAACCUUACAUGCUCCUUUUUCUAGGAGAGAGCUACCUCACCUGGCUUUUACUGGGCAAAUUGCACACUUGGGUGCAAAAGGUGACUUUUUUACUCAUGCAUUUGGUAGACACAAAGAAAACAAUCACUUUUCUAGGUUAAGCGAUGAUUCCAAAUUCUUACAUUGCUAUGUGAUAGCAGUACAACAUGUUGGCCUCUGGAAUCUGGCUAUUUGGGUUGAAAUCCCACCUCUAUUUCUCACUAACUCUGACCUUGGACAAGAUAAUUACUUCUUCAUGUCUUAGUCUUCUCAUCUUGAAAGUGGUCAUAAUAAUAGUAACUAAUGCAUGUGUGUGUGUGUGUGUGUGUGUGUUAACAUAUAUGAAGUACCUAGAACAAUUCUUGACACAGUUUUAAUAAUUAUUAGCUAUUAUUAUUGUUGAUACUGGGUACAUCCCUUUUAUUCCAUCACAUGGGUUGAGAGGUGAAAUGCACUAUUGCUUUGAUCCUGUGGAACUUGAUAACCAAAUGUAGGAUUAAAUUGCUGACCAAGCCCUAUUUAUAUUUAUAGCUGGAAGAGCCUGUAUUGUCUUCAUAAUACUAUAGAAGAAUUCAAGAUAGGAGAGAGAGGCAGCAACCAAUGAAGACUAUAAAAGAAAAGAAGAAGGAACGCCUAAGAUUGAGGUAGAGUAGGUGAUAUAGGCGAGUUGUCCAUUGACUUGUAGAGUUGCACUUUNUAGCAAUGGGUAAUGCUUAGUUAACUUUGAUAUCACUUUAGUGUGCUUUGUGAAGGUGAUACCCUUACAAUUCAGUUUAGUAUUGGCACAGUAAGCAAUAAAAGAGUAAAAGGGGUUUUAUCACCCUCAGAUAAUUUAGUGGGUAUUUUAUGCUUUUAAGAAUUAUCAAAAUAAGGGGCUGGGGAGAUAGCUCAGUUGGUAGAGUGCUUGCCUCGCAUGUACAAGGCCCUGGGUUCAAUCCCCAGCACCACAAAAAAAAAAAAAAAAAAUUACGAAAAUAAGUUGAUACUUUAGUCUUUAAAUAUUUUGGUUCUUUAUCAGACAUGAAUGGCAUUUAAGGGAAAUGUUAUAAGGGUUAUCAAUCCUCAAAGGGCCUCUUGCACUUCUUUCUCUUGUAUAGGAAAUCUGCCAGGACUAGGAAGGUAACCCAGAGGAAGCCAUCUUCAGGGCCUGGUAAGAAAGAUGAGGCUGUGUUCAGCUGCUGCCUGCAGACCUCAGCAAAGAAGGCCACCUGUAUAGGGCAGUAAACUUGGUUCUCUCACUAUCAACCCUACUUCCUUCCCAGAUUCUCUAAGGGCCUGAAUAACUCACGCUCUGUAAAUUUCAUGUACAAAGUUGAAGAAACAAGUAAAGCCACUUAAAACCAAAAAUUGUGGAGUAGUUGCAGCCAACUUUUUCAGUGUGACCAAAAUUAUAUCAAAUCCUAAAUGAUACUGAAUAAGACCUCAUUCUAACCUUCCUCCUUGCCAAAAUGUCUGUCUUCCCAAAACAGAUGAUUCCUGACUUAACAUGGUAUCACUUACAAUGUUUUGACUUCACAGUGGUGCAAAACUGAUAUGCAUUCACAAUAGAAACUGUACUUAAAAUUUGAAUUUUGAUCGUUUCUCAAGCUAGGUAUAUAUGGUAUGAUACUAAACACUGGACAGUGGCAGUGAGCCACUGUCAGCCACACACCAUGAUGGGCAACCACCAACACUCUACAGCAUGCUUUGUUGUUAGGCUGAGAUGUUUGGUAGGUUAGAUGUAUUAAAUAUAUUUUUGAUCAAUGAUAUUUUCACCUUAUGAAGGGUUUGUCUGUACAUAAGCCCUUCAUAAGUCAAAAAGCAUCUGUAUUCCUUCCUGUACUUAUAUGGUUAGCUCCCACUUCUCUUCCAUUCUUGUGGAUAAACUUGAGCCAAGCCUGUAUAGUUAAUUCUUAACAUUCACUCUUCUAGUUUGCCGGCUAUGCUUUCAAGAACCUGGGGAUCCCGAAAAGUUAGGAGAAUUCCUUCAGAAAGACAAUCUCAGCGUGCAUUAUUUCUGUCUUGUGAGUACAAGCCUCCUUUACUUUGAAUGUCAUGGCAUUUCCCACACAGACUAUUUUGGCAUCCAGUCUCAAAUUUAUAGUAUUGUUUGUUUUCCUUAAUAGGCUUUUUUUUUUAAUCCAAAAAAUAUAUGUACCUGGUAUAAAAUCCUGACACUGUAAAGUAUGUGCAGUUAAAAGCUUCUUCCCAAAACAAUAUCCUCAAUCUUUCUUGCCCUCCCCAAAGACAAAUACUUCCCUUACUUUGGGAUAUCCUUCAAGUUAUUUUUUUCCCAGUAUUCUUUUUUGUUAGGUAAAAUUUGCAUACUAUAAAAUGCAACCAAUUUUAAGUGUACAAUUUGGUGAAUAUUGACAAAAGUAUAUCCUUGUAUAACCACCACCCUAAUCAAACAGCAUUUCCAUCAUCCUGACCUUUUCUAGAUAGUUCCACCAGAGAUAAUCACAGUUGUGAUCUAUAGAUUAUUUCUGCAUAAUCUGACUUUAUAUAAAUGUUUUUAAUACUUCUUAGUUGUAGAUGGACACAAUGCCUUUAUUUUAUUUUUAUGUGGUGCUCAGACUCGAACCCAGUGCCCUCCACAUGCAAGGUGAACACUCCACUGAGCUACAACCCCAGCGCAGACUUCAUAUAAUUUGAACCAUGAUGUUUAUACUUUUUCAUAUAUGGCUUUUUUUCCUAACACAAUGUUUUGGAGAUCCAUCCAUGUUGUUGCCUAGUAGUAUUCUGUCAUAUGAAUGUGUUACAGUGUACACCUGCUAGUGUACAUUUGAAUUGUUUCCAUUUGGGAACUAUUGUGAAUAAAGCUGCUAUGAACAUUCAUGUCCAACUUUUUUUGUGAACAUGUGUUUUCACUUCUCUUAGGCAGAUGUCUAGGAGUGGAAUUACCGGUUGUAUGCUAAAUAGAUGUUUAACUUCAUGUGAAGUUGCCAAGUCAUUUUCCAAAGUGAUUGUACCAGUUUGCACUCCCACAAGCAAUUUAUGAGAGUUCCAGUUGCAUGAUAUCUUGCCAAAACUUGGUAUUGUCAGUCUUUUUCAUUUUAACCAUUCUACUGGAUAUAUAUUGCUAUCUCCUUAUGGUUUUAAUUUGCACUUCUCUGGUAACUAAAGAUGUUGAGCUUCUUGAUCAUUCUCAUAUUUUCUGUGAAGAAUCCAUACCAAUAUUUUUGUCCAUUUUUAAAAUUCAGUUGUUUGAUCCUAUAAUUGAGUUGUAAGAAUUGUUUAUCUAUUCUGGAUACAAAUUGUUUUUCAGAUAUCUGUAUUGUAUUUUCUUCUGUGGCUUGCCUUUUCAUUUUCUUAAUGGCAUGUUUUGAAGAACAAGUUUUUAAUUUUGAUGAAUUCUUCUUUAUUACUUUUUUCUUCUGUGAUUAGUACUUUUUGUGUGUCCUAAGAAAUCUUUGCCUACCCAUUGAAUUACCUAGGUGACUUUAUAAAAGUCAAUUGUGAAUUUGGAUGAUGUUUAUGUCAUUUGAUCUAUGUGUGUCUAUACUUAAACCCUACCCCACUGUCUUAAUUAUUAUUGCUUUGUCUUGAAAGUAAGUAUUAUAAAUGUUGUAGUCUUUUCCAAUAUUGUUUUGGUUAUCAGGUCCUUUCCUUUUCUUUAUGAAAUUUUUAUUAAGCUUAUUAGUUUUCUUUUCCAAGAAACUUCUGGGAUUGUAAUUAGGGUUACUCCAAACUUUGAUUAUUUUGGGGAGAAUUAACAAAUUCUUCCAUGGACACAGUAUAUUUCUCCAUUUAUUUGGGUCUUUUAAAUUUUUAUAUCGGCAAAGUUUUAUAGUUCUUUAUUUUUUAGACUUUUUUCCCACCCAAUGGCUGGGAUUGAACCCAAGGCUUAAACAAUGUAGGCAAACAUUCUACCAAUGAGCUACAUCCCCAACAUUUUAUAGUUGUAGUGAAAAAGUCUUGCACAUCUUUUGUUAAAUGUAUUCCUAAAUAUUUUAUGGUUAUUCUAUUGUAAGUGACAUUUUAAAAUUUCAUUUAAAGUUUGUGGCUUAAUAUAGAAAUGCAGUCUAUUUUUAUAUGUUGAUUUUUGUAUCCUGAAAUCUUGUUAAAUUCACUUAGUUCAGUAAUUAUUUUUCUUUAUUUUGUUGUAAAAUGCCUUAGAAUUUACUGUGUACAUAGUCAUGUUUUGUGAAUAAAGACAGUUCUGUAUCUUCUUUUCAAUCUUUGUCUUUUAUUUAUUCUUCUUAUUAUACUGGCUAGGACCUUCAACCUGAUGUUCAAUAGAGGUGCUGUGAAUGGUUUUCCAUGUCUUGUUCUCAACAUUAUGGAAUAGCAUCUAGUUUUUCAUUAUUAAAAUAUGUUCACUGUAGGUUUUUCGUAGGUGGUUUUUAUCAACUUGAAGUUCCCGUUUAUUCCUUGUUUUCAGAGAAUAUCAUGAAUAUGUAUUGAAUUUUGUCAAAUGCUUU
rnacentral:lncRNA from 1 species